UACGUAGGGUGCAAGCGUUGUCCGGAAUUAUUGGGCGUAAAGAGCUCGUAGGCGGUCUGUUGCGUCGGCUGUGAAAACCCGGGGCUCAACUCCGGGCCUGCAGCUGAUACGGGCAGGCUUGAGUUCGGUAGGGGAGACUGGAAUUCCUGGUGUAGCGGUGAAAUGCGCAGAUAUCAGGAGGAACACCGGUGGCGAAGGCGGGUCUCUGGGCCGAUACUGACGCUGAGGAGCGAAAGCGUGGGGAGCGAACAGG
rnacentral:rRNA from 1 species